UAGGGAAUAUUCCACAAUGAGCGAAAGCUUGAUGGAGCGACACAGCGUGCACGAUGAAGGUCUUAUGGAUUGUAAAGUGCUGUUGCAAGGGAAGAAAAAGUAGUUAAGGAAAUGCUUCUACAUUGACGGUACCUUGUUAGAAAGCGAUGGCUAACUAUGUGCCAGCAGCCGCGGUAAUACAUAGGUCGCAAGCGUUAUCCGGAAUUAUUGGGCGUAAAGCGUUCGUAGGCUGUUUAUUAAGUCUGGAGUCAAAUCCCAGGGCUCAACCCUGGCUCGCUUUGGAUACUGGUAAACUAGAGUUGGAUAGAGGUAAGCGGAAUUCCAUGUGAAGCGGUGAAAUGCGUAGAUAUAUGGAAGAACACCAAAGGCGAAGGCAGCUUACUGGGUUUAUACUGACGCUGAGGAACGAAAGCGUGGGGAGCAAACAGGAUUAGAUACCCUGGUAGUCCACGCCGUAAACGAUGAUCAUUAGUCGGCAGAGAACUGUUGACGCAGCUAACGCAUUAAAUGAUCCGCCUGAGUAGUAUGCUCGCAAGAGU
rnacentral:rRNA from 1 species